CAAAAACAUGUCUUUAUGAAAAAAUAUAAAGUCUAGCCUGCCCAAUGAUUAAUUAAAUGGCUGCAGUAUAUUGACUGUACAAAGGUAGCAUAAUAAUUAGUUUUUUAAUUGAAAACUGGAAUGAAUGGUUGGAUGAAAUAUUAACUGUUUUUUAUAAAAAUUAAUUGAAUUUUAUUUUUAAGUAAAAAAGCUUAAAUAAUAUUAAAAGACGAGAAGACCCUAUAAAUCUUUAUAUUUUUAUAAAAUAUUAUUAUAAAGAAAAUAUUAUGUUAUUUUUAAAAAAUAUUUUAUUGGGGUGAUAAUAAAAUUUAAAAAACUUUUAUAUUUAUUAUUUCAUUAAUUUAUGAAUAAUUGAAUAAUUAUUAAUGAUUAUAAAAUAAGUUACUUUAGGGAUAACAGCGUAAA
rnacentral:rRNA from 1 species